UAUAGCCUUGGUAAUAAAAUUGAUUUUUUUUUGCUUUUCAGCCAGCAGGUGGCCCACUCUAACAAUGCACUGUUAAUGCUGUGAGCUCAGGGAAUGCCCUUCAGACUGCUUAGUAAGAAAGAUUACAGAAUUGGACACACUCACCUUCCUGUAUUUCCAGAGUUGAUUUCCCUUCAUUCCAUGACAAUCAUAGAGGGUCACAGGACUAUUGUGGGAAACGGCAUCAAAACAGAAUUUCUUUGUAUGCUGAGGGUCACCUGGACGAAUAUCUUCUCGCCAGCUGAAUGUGAAUACCUGCCAGAACAAAUAAUAAAUCCUCAAAACUAU